rnacentral:tRNA from 1 species
GCCGGAGUGGUGAAAUUGGCAGACACACUAGCCUUAGGAGCUAGCGCCGAAAGGCAUGGGAGUUCAACUCUCCCCUCCGGCA